GAGACAGCAGUCGCCGCGGUAAAACGUAGGUGGCAAGCGUUGUCCGGAAUUAUUGGGCGUAAAGGGCUCGCAGGCGGUUUCUUAAGUCUGAUGUGAAAGCCCCCGGCUCAACCGGGGAGGGUCAUUGGAAACUGGGAAACUUGAGUGCAGAAGAGGAGAGUGGAAUUCCACGUGUAGCGGUGAAAUGCGUAGAGAUGUGGAGGAACACCAGUGGCGAAGGCGACUCUCUGGUCUGUAACUGACGCUGAGGAGCGAAAGCGUGGGGAGCGAACAGGAUUAGAUACCCCUGUAGUCCCUGUCUCUUAUAC
rnacentral:rRNA from 1 species